rnacentral:rRNA from 1 species
AAGUCGAGCGGACCGAAGGGAGCUUGCUCCUUUAGGUUAGCGGCGGACGGGUGAGUAACACGUGGGCAACCUGCCCUGCAGACUGGGAUAACUUCGGGAAACCGGAGCUAAUACCGGAUAACACCGAAAACCGCAUGGUUUUCGGUUGAAAGGCGGCUUUUAGCUGUCACUGCAGGAUGGGCCCGCGGCGCAUUAGCUAGUUGGUGAGGUAACGGCUCACCAAGGCGACGAUGCGUAGCCGACCUGAGAGGGUGACCGGCCACACUGGGACUGAGACACGGCCCAGACUCCUACGGGAGGCAGCAGUAGGGAAUCUUCCGCAAUGGACGAAAGUCUGACGGAGCAACGCCGCGUGAGCGAAGAAGGUCUUCGGAUCGUAAAGCUCUGUUGUCAGGGAAGAACAAGUACCGUUCGAACAGGGCGGUACCUUGACGGUACCUGACGAGGAAGCCACGGCUAACUACGUGCCAGCAGCCGCGGUAAUACGUAGGUGGCAAGCGUUGUCCGGAAUUAUUGGGCGUAAAGCGCGCGCAGGCGGUUCCUUAAGUCUGAUGUGAAAUCUCGCGGCUCAACCGCGAGCGGCCAUUGGAAACUGGGGAACUUGAGUGCAGGAGAGGGGAGCGGAAUUCCACGUGUAGCGGUGAAAUGCGUAGAGAUGUGGAGGAACACCAGUGGCGAAGGCGGCUCUCUGGCCUGUAACUGACGCUGAGGCGCGAAAGCGUGGGGAGCGAACAGGAUUAGAUACCCUGGUAGUCCACGCCGUAAACGAUGAGUGCUAAGUGUUAGAGGGUAUCCACCCUUUAGUGCUGCAGCAAACGCAUUAAGCACUCCGCCUGGGGAGUACGGCCGCAAGGCUGAAACUCAAAGGAAUUGACGGGG